CUAUCUGACCUCUUUCCCUGAUCUUGGUCCCUAACCCUACAUGCAUUUUGAAGUUUGAUGUAGGGGUUCGAGCUGUCUUCCCUGGAAGUCGCACUGAAGCACUUAUUUUAUUAUUAUUAUUUUUAGCUGUGCUCCACAGCUUGUGGGGAUCUUAGUUCUGAGACCAGGGAUCAAACUUGGGGCCCUGGCCAUGAGCACAUUGAGUCUUAAUCACUGGACCACCAGGGAGUUCUCAAGAAGCACUUAUUUUAAAAGUGGGAAAUUAUCUUUCACUCAGCCUCAUAAUGGUUUUUUCAUUCGAAAAAGCACAUUUAUAAUUUCAUUAGAAAAAGCAUGUAUAUAAUUUACCUGUGAAAAAAUGAUUUCAGAUGCUGACUUGGGACGCUGUCUCACGGCAGAUGGUCUUUACCUGUAUACUACUAACUCAGUUGGAAGAGGAGUAAGCAAAUUGGGGUCUGGAUUACAUGGUACUCUCAGAGGUUUUGUGUACUGCCGGAACGAGGAGCUGGAACCAGGAUGGCUUGCUUUUGGCAGUGGCAGUCUUCUCCACCGGCCUGUAUCUUUUGACAAUAAACCUCACUCCCUUUUCCAGGUCAUUGACCAGAAUACCCUUCAGGUGUGCCAGGUGGUGCCAAUGCCAGCCAAUCACCUCCCUGUUGGCAGCACUAUGAGCACUGUGCACCUUUCUUCAGACGGCACUUACUUCUAUUGGAUCUGGUCUCCUGCCAGCCUGAAUGAGAAAACACCUAAGGGACAUUCUGUUUUCAUGGACACUUUUGAACUUGUGGUGGAAAAUGGUGUAUUCGUAGCCAACCCACUUCAGGAACGCACAAUUCUAAUGAGAAAAGAGGGCGAGUCUGCAAAAAGCAUUAAUGAGAUGCUCCUGAGCAGACUGUCCCGUUACCGAGCCUCGCCGUCCGCAACACUGGCUGCCCUCACUGGCUCCACCAUCUCCAACACCCUGAAAGAGGACCAAGCAGCAAAUACUAGCUGUGGACUUCCUCUAAAAAUGCUUCGGAAGACACCCAUUUAUACCUGUGGUACAUAUUUGGUGAUGCUGGUCCCACCUCCAGGGGGAUCAGGCAGCUCUGCCACCCGAUCUCUUUUUGGUGGAACAAGUGGUUUGUCGUCUUUAAAAAGUAAGUGA
rnacentral:lncRNA from 1 species